CAAGGGUAUGGCUGUUCGCCAUUUAAAGUGGUACGCGAGCUGGGUUUAGAACGUCGUGAGACAGUUCGGUCCCUAUCUGCCGUGGGCGCUGGAGAAUUGAGGGGGGCUGCUCCUAGUACGAGAGGACCGGAGUGGACGCAUCACUGGUGUUCGGGUUGUCAUGCCAAUGGCACUGCCCGGUAGCUAAAUGCGGAAGAGAUAAGUGCUGAAAGCAUCUAAGCACGAAACUUGCCCCGAGAUGAGUUCUCCCUGAGACUUUAAGUCUCCUGAAGGAACGUUAAAGACGAUGACGUUGAUAGGCCGGGUGUGUAAGCGCAGCGAUGCGUUGAGCUAACCGGUACUAAUGAACCGUGAGGCUUAACCUUACAACGCCGAAG
rnacentral:rRNA from 1 species